rnacentral:lncRNA from 1 species
GGUGAGGAUGGAUGAUGGUGCUAGCUGGUGAGGAGUACAACGUCGUUACCUGCCAUCUUCACACGCUGGUGCAUGAGUGAUUUAGAGGAUGGGCCAGAAUAUGUGUUGCCCCAAGAAGGGGCCGCCACCCCCAAAUCACCCUGGACCGUUUGACCCCAUAGAUCCAGUCGAAAUAAUUGAGGUGACGGAUAUAUUACCUACCAAUGGCGUUCGACCUGAACAUACUUAUUCCAGAACCCAGAACCCAGCAACAAGCUAUCAUGAUGAAGGUUGUUCAUGGUCAUCCAAGUCUUUGCUGCGUUUAAGCUUUUUUUAUUGCU